UACGUAAGGGGCAAGCGUUGUCCGGAAUCACUGGGCGUAAAGGGCGCGUAGGCGGUUCGUUAAGUCGGGAGUGAAAGCGCUGGGCUCAACCCAGCAAUGGCUCUCGAGACUGGCGAGCUAGAGGAUCCUAGGGGAUGCUAGAAUUCCAGGUGUAGCGGUGAAAUGCGUAGAUAUCUGGGAGAAUACCCGUGGCGAAGGCGGGCAUCUGGGGGAUUCCUGACGCUGAGGCGCGAAAGCUAGGGGAGCGAACGGG
rnacentral:rRNA from 1 species